ensembl:lncRNA
GUUUAUCUUCCCUCCCUGCUGUAAAACCUUCUGCCUGACGGUGAGGCAGAAGACACGAUGUAGGUCUGCAGGAACAUUUGUUCACAUGGGACCAGAGCGGGGAGAGGAAAGGCCACGUUUUGUUGCUGCCAAGGUGUCCUCCAAGACGGUUUCUGCACAGUGCAGCCAGGCAGGCAGAAGAGCCGCUGCCUCCGCUCUGCGGCCAUGGACAGCUGCUGUCUGCCCAUCGCCGCCACCGAGCCUCCUCUCCCGCCCUGCUCCGGCUCGGCCGCUGCCUUCCCGGCUCCCUCUCCAGCCCGGGGGAGCCCCCAGGCCCCGAGAGACCGGGGUCUUGACUGGGAGACGCGCUGCUCUCGCCCGUGGCACGUCUGCGCGGGGACACGCGCCUUUCCCUGCAACGGGACGCCCCAGCGAGUUGCCUGGGCCCCUUCCCGGAUGGAUGGAUGGAUGGAUGAGUGUGGUGCCCGCACGUCCCYGGCUGCAGCAUGGUGGUCCUGGAGCCACCAGCGGGCUGCGACGACGGCAUUUGGCAGAGCAGCAACUCGGCCGCAUAGAAACACGCGCGGCAGGAUGGAGCUGGAAGAGGGGCCACAGCCGGAGCUCGGCCGGUCGUCUGCUGCCGCCAGGUCGGACACGACGCCUCUGCCCGGAUGCGGCCUGCAGGGUAACCUCCGAGAGUGCAAACUCGCGUGCCCGUGCCGAGCUCCCGCCUCUUGGAUGAGCUAACUGCUCUUCAGACACGGCGUUUCUCCCCCUGCCGCUGCUCUCCGCAGCCCGAAUUUCGAGCUGUGUCAGUCCUCCGUCACGACCGAAAUGUGGGAUGCCCGUUAUUUAUUUAUGUAAAAUGUUCCGCAGCAUUAACUCAACGCACCAUAGAAACCGAGCCGGUAUUGUGGCGGGCGCUUUCAUCCAGGUUUCCGCCGCGCCGUGGAUGCCGCCUGCCUUUGUGCGUGCCAGUCCCCUGUUUAUCUUGCCGAUGCCUUUGUGGUCCCCGUUGGACAUAUUUUACUGUAAAUAAAGAGCGAUGCUGUCUUGCA